UUGUCUCGUUUGAUUCCUACCUCUUUAAAC
rnacentral:piRNA from 1 species